rnacentral:rRNA from 1 species
AUGAUAAGUAAGUUCUGGUGGAGCUAGGUGGACAAAGUAAACAAAAUCCACUGGACUAGCUGGGAGAAGCUCUCAAAACCAAAGAGAGUGGGUGGAUUAGGAUUCAGGGACCUACAUGCUUUCAAUAUGGCCAUGCUUGCUAAACAAGCAUGGCGACUGCUUCAGAAUCCGUCCUCACUAUGCGCCAAAGUACUACAGGCCAAAUAUCAUCCAGGGAACAGCAUAAUCGAAGCGACUCCAAAAAAGGGAAUUUCGUAUUCAUGGUGUAGUAUUUUGAAAGGCGUGCAACUGCUGAAAAGAGGUAUAAUUUGGAGAGUCGGAAAUGGGCAAAACAUCAAAAUCUGGACGGAUCCCUGGCUCCCAAGAGGAACUACAAGAAGGGUCACCUCAUUUUGUGGGAGACAAGUGAUUUCGAAGGUUGCGGAUCUUAUAGACCCACAAAUAAAUAGUUGGGAUGCUAACCUUGUGCACCAAACUUUCAAUGCAGAGGAUACAAAGAUAAUCCUGCAGAUCCCCAUUCAUGAUCAUUUUGAUGACUCCAUUGCAUGGCACUUUGACAAAAAGGGAAUCUUCUCGGUGAAAUCAGCCUAUAAGGUUGCAGUGGACAAUGCAGAACGGGAAUCAAGCCAUGGGCAAACAUCAACUUCAAGACGUAAUGGAGAGGCGACUGAUUUCGAAUGGAAGAAAAUAUGGGCUUUACCUCUCCCAAAUAAGGUCCUCCACUUCGUUUGGCGUAUGGCAACAUAUAGUCUACCACUGCGAAUGAAGUUGAAAAACAGGGGAAUGGAUAUUGACACUAGGUGCCCAGUGUGCUUCAGAUAUGAUGAGGAUGGUUGUCACUGUUUCCUCAAAUGCAAAAAGGUGAAACAAUUGUGGCAUGCUCAGUGUGCUUCAGAUACGAAGGAGUGCCCAGAAACAGACCGCCACGCCAAAAUGGUCUCCUCCACCAAGUACAUUCCUUAA